rnacentral:ncRNA from 1 species
UUGAUACUGCGACAGUAAUCCAACUUAGUACGAGAGGAACAGUUGGGUCGGAUACUUGGUAAAUGCGGCUAGCUGAAAAGCUAGUGCCGCGACGCUACCAUCCGUUGGAUUAUGACUGAACGCCUCUAAGUCAGAAUCCAUGCUGGAUAUGCAGUGUUAUUCACCGCCUCCUCUGUUUCAUGCAAUGAUACAGGCCUUUGGCCCUGCUUCUCAUCAAAGCCCUUCGCUUCAUGCUUUUGGGCGAGAAUCUCAAUUUCUAACAUUGGAGGUGAUACAUCCAUUGCAGACGACUUUGUUGCAACCGGGUAUUGUAAGUAUGAGAGUAGGCUUGUCCUACGAUCUACUAAGAUUUUUCCUGCGUUGUUCGAUGU